rnacentral:rRNA from 1 species
CCUACGGGUGGCAGCAGUGAGGAAUAUUGGUCAAUGGGCGCGAGCCUGAACCAGCCAAGUCGCGUGAGGGAGGACGGCCCUACGGGUUGUAAACCUCUUUUGCCGGGGAGCAACGGGCGCCCCGUGUGGCGUCACUGAGAGUACCCGGAGAAAAAGCUUCGGCUAACACCGUGCCAAAAGCCGCGGUAAUACGGGGGAUGCGAGCUUUAUCCGGAUUUUUUGGGUUUAAGGGGUGCGUAGUCGGAUCGUAAUGUCAGUGGUAAAAUUGAGGGGCUCAACCCCGUACCGCCAUUGAAACUGGCGUUCUUGAGUGGAAGAGAAGUAGGCGGAAUGCGUGGUGUAGCGGUGAAAUGCAUAGAUAUCACGCAGAACCCCGAUUGCGAAGGCAGCAUGCCGGCUUCCGACUGACGCUGAAGCACGAAAGCGUGGGUAUCGAACAGGAUUAGAUACCCCUGUAGUC